rnacentral:rRNA from 1 species
UUGAUCCUGGCUCACAACGAACGUAGGCGGCGUGCCUAACACAUGCAAGUCGAACGAGAAAGCUCCCUUCGGGGGGUGAGUAAAGUGGCAGACGGGUGAGUAACACGUGGGCAACCUGCCCCGAGGUGGGGGAUAACCUCCCGAAAGGGAGGCUAAUACCGCAUGACAUCCCGGAGUCGAUGGACAUCGGGAUCAAAGCAGGCCUCUUCAUGAAAGCUUGCGCCACGGGAUGGGCCCGCGCCCCAUUAGCCUGUUGGUGAGGUAACGGCUCACCAAGGCUACGAUGGGUAGCCGGCCUGAGAGGGCGAUCGGCCACACUGGAACUGAGACACGGUCCAGACUCCUACGGGAGGCAGCAGUGAGGAAUUUUGCGCAAUGGGCGAAAGCCUGACGCAGCGACGCCGCGUGGAGGACGAAGGCCUUCGGGUCGUAAACUCCUGUCAAGAGGGACGAAUGUCGGGAGGCUGAAAUAAGCCUUUCGGUUGACGGUACCUCUGG